CAUGCUACGGCUUACACAUGCAAGUCGAGGGGAAACGGCAUUAAGUGCUUGCACUUUUUGGACGUCGACCGGCGCACGGGUGAGUAACGCGUAUCCAACCUUCCCAUGACUAAGGGAUAACCUGCCGAAAGGCAGACUAAUACCUUAUGGUCUUCACUGACGGCAUCAGAUGUGAAGUAAAGACUUAUCGGUUAUGGAUGGGGAUGCGUCUGAUUAGUUAGUUGGCGGGGUAACGGCCCACCAAGGCAACGAUCAGUAGGGGUUCUGAGAGGAAGGUCCCCCACAUUGGAACUGAGACACGGUCCAAACUCCUACGGGAGGCAGCAGUGAGGAAUAUUGGUCAAUGGGCGAGAGCCUGAACCAGCCAAGUAGCGUGCAGGACGACGGCCCUAUGGGUUGUAAACUGCUUUUGUAUGGGGAUAAAGUCAAUCACGUGUGAUUGUUUGCAGGUACCAUACGAAUAAGGACCGGCUAAUUCCGUGCCAGCAGCCGCGGUAAUACGGAAGGUCCGGGCGUUAUCCGGAUUUAUUGGGUUUAAAGGGAGCGUAGGCUGGAGAUUAAGUGUGUUGUGAAAUGUAGACGCUCAACGUCUGACUUGCAGCGCAUACUGGUUUCCUUGAGUACGCACAACGUUGGCGGAAUUCGUCGUGUAGCGGUGAAAUGCUUAGAUAUGACGAAGAACUCCGAUUGCGAAGGCAGCUGACGGGAGCGCAACUGACGCUGAAGCUCGAAGGUGCGGGUAUCGAACAGGAUUAGAUACCCUGGUAGUCCGCACAGUAAACGAUGGAUGCCCGCUGUUGGUACGUGGUAUCAGCGGCUAAGCGAAAGCAUUAAGC
rnacentral:rRNA from 1 species